rnacentral:rRNA from 1 species
AUUGAACGCUGGCGGCAGGCCUAACACAUGCAAGUCGAGCGGAUGAAGGGAGCUUGCUCCUGGAUUCAGCGGCGGACGGGUGAGUAAUGCCUAGGAAUCUGCCUGGUAGUGGGGGAUAACGUCCGGAAACGGGCGCUAAUACCGCAUACGUCCUGAGGGAGAAAGUGGGGGAUCUUCGGACCUCACGCUAUCAGAGGAGCCUAGGUCGGAUUAGCUAGUUGGUGGGGUAAAGGCCUACCAAGGCGACGAUCCGUAACUGGUCUGAGAGGAUGAUCAGUCACACUGGAACUGAGCCACGGUCCAGGCUCCUACGAGAGGCAGCAGUGGGGUAUAUUGGACAAUGGGCGAAAGCCUGAUCCAGCCAUGCCGCGUGUGUGGAGAAGGUCUUCGGAUUGUAAAGCACUUUAAGUUGGGAGGAAGGGCAGUAAGUUAAUACCUUGCUGUUGUGACGUUACCAACAGAAUAAGCACCGGCUAACUUCGUG